rnacentral:rRNA from 1 species
UUUAUGGAGAGUUUGAUCCUGGCUCAGGAUGAACGCUGGCGGCGUGCCUAAUACAUGCAAGUCGAGCGAACGGACGAGAAGCUUGCUUCUCUGAUGUUAGCGGCGGACGGGUGAGUAACACGUGGAUAACCUACCUAUAAGACUGGGAUAACUUCGGGAAACCGGAGCUAAUACCGGAUAAUAUUUUGAACCGCAUGGUUCAAAAGUGAAAGACGGUCUUGCUGUCACUUAUAGAUGGAUCCGCGCUGCAUUAGCUAGUUGGUAAGGUAACGGCUUACCAAGGCAACGAUGCAUAGCCGACCUGAGAGGGUGAUCGGCCACACUGGAACUGAGACACGGUCCAGACUCCUACGGGAGGCAGCAGUAGGGAAUCUUCCGCAAUGGGCGAAAGCCUGACGGAGCAACGCCGCGUGAGUGAUGAAGGUCUUCGGAUCGUAAAACUCUGUUAUUAGGGAAGAACAUAUGUGUAAGUAACUGUGCACAUCUUGACGGUACCUAAUCAGAAAGCCACGGCUAACUACGUGCCAGCAGCCGCGGUAAUACGUAGGUGGCAAGCGUUAUCCGGAAUUAUUGGGCGUAAAGCGCGCGUAGGCGGUUUUUUAAGUCUGAUGUGAAAGCCCACGGCUCAACCGUGGAGGGUCAUUGGAAACUGGAAAACUUGAGUGCAGAAGAGGAAAGUGGAAUUCCAUGUGUAGCGGUGAAAUGCGCAGAGAUAUGGAGGAACACCAGUGGCGAAGGCGACUUUCUGGUCUGUAACUGACGCUGAUGUGCGAAAGCGUGGGGAUCAAACAGGAUUAGAUACCCUGGUAGUCCACGCCGUAAACGAUGAGUGCUAAGUGUUAGGGGGUUUCCGCCCCUUAGUGCUGCAGCUAACGCAUUAAGCACUCCGCCUGGGGAGUACGACCGCAAGGUUGAAACUCAAAGGAAUUGACGGGGACCCGCACAAGCGGUGGAGCAUGUGGUUUAAUUCGAAGCAACGCGAAGAACCUUACCAAAUCUUGACAUCCUUUGACAACUCUAGAGA